GAUGAACGCUGGCGGCGUGCUUAACACAUGCAAGUCGAACGGGAUCCCAGGAGCUUGCUCCUGGGUGAGAGUGGCGAACGGGUGAGUAAUGCGUGACCGACCUGCCCCAUACACCGGAAUAGCUCCUGGAAACGGGUGGUAAUGCCGGAUGCUCCAGUUGGAUGCAUGUCCUUCUGGGAAAGAUUCAUCGGUAUGGGAUGGGGUCGUGUCCUAUCAGCUUGAUGGCGGGGUAACGGCCCACCAUGGCUU
rnacentral:rRNA from 1 species